rnacentral:rRNA from 1 species
GAUGAACGCUGGCGGCGUGCCUAAUACAUGCAAGUCGAGCGAACGGACGAGAAGCUUGCUUCUCUGAUGUUAGCGGCGGACGGGUGAGUAACACGUGGAUAACCUACCUAUAAGACUGGGAUAACUUCGGGAAACCGGAGCUAAUACCGGAUAAUAUUUUGAACCGCAUGGUUCAAAAGUGAAAGACGGUCUUGCUGUCACUUAUAGAUGGAUCCGCGCUGCAUUAGCUAGUUGGUAAGGUAACGGCUUACCAAGGCAACGAUGCAUAGCCGACCUGAGAGGGUGAUCGGCCACACUGGAACUGAGACACGGUCCAGACUCCUACGGGAGGCAGCAGUAGGGAAUCUUCCGCAAUGGGCGAAAGCCUGACGGAGCAACGCCGCGUGAGUGAUGAAGGUCUUCGGAUCGUAAAACUCUGUUAUUAGGGAAGAACAUAUGUGUAAGUAACUGUGCACAUCUUGACGGUACCUAAUCAGAAAGCCACGGCUAACUACGUGCCAGCAGCCGCGGUAAUACGUAGGUGGCAAGCGUUAUCCGGAAUUAUUGGGCGUAAAGCGCGCGUAGGCGGUUUUUUAAGUCUGAUGUGAAAGCCCACGGCUCAACCGUGGAGGGUCAUUGGAAACUGGAAAACUUGAGUGCAGAAGAGGAAAGCGGGAUUCCAUGUGUAGCGGUGAAAUGCGCAGAGAUAUGGAGGAACACCAGUGGCGAAGGCGACUUUCUGGUCUGUAACUGACGCUGAUGUGCGAAAGCGUGGGGAUCAAACAGGAUUAGAUACCCUGGUAGUCCACGCCGUAAACGAUGAGUGCUAAGUGUUAGGGGGUUUCCGCCCCUUAGUGCUGCAGCUAACGCAUUAAGCACUCCGCCUGGGGAGUACGACCGCAAGGUUGAAACUCAAAGGAAUUGACGGGGACCCGCACGAGCGGUGGAGCAUGUGGUUUAAUUCGAAGCAACGCGAAGAACCUUACCAAAUCUUGACAUCCUUUGACAACUCUAGAGAUAGAGCCUUCCCCUUCGGGGGGGCAAAGUGACAGGUGGUGCAUGGUUGUCGUCAGCUCGUGUCGUGAGAUGUUGGGUUAAGUCCCGCAACGAGCGCAACCCUUAAGCUUAGUUGCCAUCAUUAAGUUGGGCACUCUAAGUUGACUGCCGGUGACAAACCGGAGGAAGGUGGGGAUGACGUCAAAUCAUCAUGCCCCUUAUGAUUUGGGCUACACACGUGCUACAAUGGACAAUACAAAGGGCAGCGAAACCGCGAGGUCAAGCAAAUCCCAUAAAGUUGUUCUCAGUUCGGAUUGUAGUCUGCAACUCGACUACAUGAAGCUGGAAUCGCUAGUAAUCGUAGAUCAGCAUGCUACGGUGAAUACGUUCCCGGGUCU